rnacentral:rRNA from 1 species
AUUGAACGCUGGCGGCAGGCCUAACACAUGCAAGUCGAACGGUAACAGGAAACAGCUUGCUGUUUCGCUGACGAGUGGCGGACGGGUGAGUAAUGUCUGGGAAACUGCCUGAUGGAGGGGGAUAACUACUGGAAACGGUAGCUAAUACCGCAUAACGUCGCAAGACCAAAGAGGGGGACCUUCGGGCCUCUUGCCAUCGGAUGUGCCCAGAUGGGAUUAGCUAGUAGGUGGGGUAACGGCUCACCUAGGCGACGAUCCCUAGCUGGUCUGAGAGGAUGACCAGCCACACUGGAACUGAGACACGGUCCAGACUCCUACGGGAGGCAGCAGUGGGGAAUAUUGCACAAUGGGCGCAAGCCUGAUGCAGCCAUGCCGCGUGUAUGAAGAAGGCCUUCGGGUUGUAAAGUACUUUCAGCGGGGAGGAAGGGAGUAAAGUUAAUACCUUUACUCGUUGACGUUACCCGCAGAAGAAGCACCGGCUAACUCCGUG